rnacentral:rRNA from 1 species
UACGAAGGGUGCAAGCGUUAAUCGGAAUUACUGGGCGUAAAGCGUGCGUAGGUGGUUUCUUAAGUCUGCUGUGAAAGCCCUGGGCUCAACCUGGGAAUGGCGGUGGAUACUGAGGAGCUAGAGUGCGGUAGAGGAGGGUGGAAUUCCCGGUGUAGCGGUGAAAUGCGUAGAUAUCUGGAGGAACACCGGUGGCGAAGGCGGCGUUCUGGGACUGCAACUGACACUGAGGAACGAAAGCCAGGGGAGCAAACGGG